CACCUGUAAAAUAUAUAUUUACGGCAGCAUCUACAGAAAGAAAUUAAUAAUGUUAUCGCAACCAUUUUGGAGUAGACGGCACGCCUACGUCACUGCAGUUGCGCGCGCAUUGUUGAGGCAAAAAACAGCGGGAAAAAACUCGAGGAAAACAGGCGACAUCGACGGAAUAAGGAACAAAUGUCUUGUUGUGCCGUUUGGUGUUACAAUAGGAAUACAAAAAAGUAUUCAUAUCUUAUUUUUUAUUGAAUAACGUCAACAUGGUUUUUUGAGCCAUUAAACGGACAGAUGAAAUAAUCCGGAAUUCUCGUCUCUGCAGCGCUCAUGUCAUAUCAGGUAAGGUUUCCAGGUCUCCGCGGUUUAAAACGUACACAAAGGCUAAAUCAGUGAUGUAGAUAAUAACAAUAAACUAGUAAAAGCAGCAUCCACAAUGCUGGCAUUCUCAGUUGGCUAUUUCAUAAUAUUAAACGCCAUAGACCAACUUAAGCAACAUCAGAGUGUAAGCAUAAGAAGCAUGCAAACAAACCAAAUUGAUCAUAGACAGUUUAGCUAUAACAUCACUGAAUAUUUAUGCGAGCGUUUAAUGAAUUAAUGGGGCAUCCAGCAAUAUUAUAUCUGUGAUAAUCUACGAAUGAGCACAAAUUUAGCUAAGCUUGGGACCACAUAAUAUUAUUGACGUUACAACGUAAUGACUGAGGAUGUGUUACAUGAGAGGCAUCCAUGGAUCCAGAAAGUCCAGACUUUGUUCCCUCAUUGUUUACUUAUUCAAAGCAGAAUCAGUGUAUGGAAGCUCCAAACAAAAUGGAAAGGUAAUCUACUCCCUUGGUUUGAUAUACUACCAACAUUUCUAAAGGUAAAAUUAUAUCUUAACUAAUAUUUCAUUAUUGUUUUGGUUAUAGGUUCAAUAGGAUGAGAAAGAGGGAUUAAGCUAUCAGCAAGUCCUCACUGGCUGACACAUCAAGCUCUCUCACUGCAGAUCAAGGGUCCUCCACUGUCAAGAGGAGCUUUGUACUAAUGAAGAUGCCAGGAUCCCUCAAGCCAUCUAAAGUGAACUUAAAGUCCAGCAUGAACAGCUUCUAACAGAGUGUCAAUCAAAGAGGAGAAUGAGCAGCUGAAGAGGCACUUAGUAGCAGGAGGUUCUCUUUCAGCUCAAUCAGAAACAAAGCUGAAAAGUUCCUUUUCUUUACUGAUGGCUGCGUUGACGCUCGACUUGAGAAAACACCAGCAGAUGACAUGGCACCCCAAAUCAUCACUGACUGGAAACUUCACACUGGACUUCAAGCAAAUUGGAUUCUGUGCCUCUCCACUCUUCCUCCAGACUCUGGGUCCUUGAUUUCCAAAUAAAAUGCAAAAUGUACUUUCAUCUGAAAAGAGGACUUUGGACCAAUGAGCAAUAAUUAUUUGCAGUAAUUCAUGCAAAAGGAGCCCCGACCAAGUAUUGAGUACAUAUAUUAACAUAAUUUUCAGAAGGUCGACAUUUCUGUAUUAUAAAUUCUUUAUUCUAAUAUUUUGAGGUACUGAAUUUUUGAAUUCUAUGAGCUGUAAACUGUAAUCAUCAAGAUUAAAACACAAAAAGGCUUAAAAUAUUUCACUUUGUGUAAUGAAUCUAGAAUAUAUUAAAGUUCUACUUUUUGAAUAAAAUUAAAUAAUUUUUUUUUAUACUUGUGUCUGGUCUCAUUACAUUGCUGUAAUAGUUGAACCUGUUUUACUGUUUUCGAUGCAAGUCCACUGUGUAUGUAAUGGUGUGAUAAAUGCACAUUUUAACACUAAGAAUAAAAGUUCA